rnacentral:rRNA from 1 species
CCUACGGGGGGCUGCAGUGGGGAAUAUUGGACAAUGGGGGCAACCCUGAUCCAGCCAUGCCGCGUGUGUGAAGAAGGCCCUCGGGUUGUAAAGCACUUUCAGUGAGGAAGAACGCCUGGUGGUUAAUACCCAUCAGGAAAGACAUCACUCACAGAAGAAGCACCGGCUAACUCCGUGCCAGCAGCCGCGGUAAUACGGAGGGUGCGAGCGUUAAUCGGAAUUACUGGGCGUAAAGCGCGCGUAGGUGGCUUGAUAAGCCGGUUGUGAAAGCCCCGGGCUCAACCUGGGAACGGCAUCCGGAACUGUCAAGCUAGAGUGCAGGAGAGGAAGGUAGAAUUCCCGGUGUAGAGGUGAAAGGCGUAGAGAUCGGGAGGAAUACCAGUGGCGAAGGCGGCCUUCUGGACUGACACUGACACUGAGGUGCGAAAGCGUGGGUAGCAAACAGGAUUAGAUACCCGUGUAGUC